rnacentral:rRNA from 1 species
GACGAAGGGGGCUAGCGUUGUUCGGAAUUACUGGGCGUAAAGAGCGCGUAGGCGGUCUGGUAAGUUGGGAGUGAAAGCCCGAGGCUUAACCUCGGAAUUGCUUUCAAAACUGCCAGGCUAGAGUGUAGUAGGGGAUGAUGGAAUUCCUAGUGUAGAGGUGAAAUUCUUAGAUAUUAGGAGGAACACCGGGGGCGAAGGCGGUCAUCUGGGCUACAACUGACGCUGAUGCGCGAAAGCGUGGGGAGCAAACAGG